AUGCGAAAAGGUACGGACGACAUUUAUACUUAAUAUAGUUUGAGUGGUUUUAAUAACUAAACAGUACAAGUUUAAAGUGAAAGUGCCGACCGAGUGCCGUUACGUCAAUUUAUUGAAGAAUUUUCCAGCGAAGUUUUUGAAACAGAUUAUAAUUGUGAUCAAGCUGUGUCAGUAAUAAAACAUUUUCAGUAUAGAAAAUAUGGUGAAAGUCAAAAUCAAUAGCCGCUGGAGUCAAUUGGUAAUUAUCAACUUAUGUAGCCGUCGGAAUCGAUAGAAAAUCGGCAUAAUACGCAUCUUUUAACUACCUGCAGUAUAUAGGUAAGUAUACUGUCUGUGGACGGAUCAAAGAAUCGUUUAGUCCAUGGGUGAACAACGUGCCAAUACUCGCCGAAAAAAGGUAUUUAGAUUUAUUUUAAUUAACAAAUAGACUAUAAAAUAUCGAGUAACAUAGCAUAUUAUUAUACAUAUUAGUGGUGUAAAACCUGUGA